UGGCAACGUAUCACUGGCCUUUGCCUAAGAAAGAAAUGGAACAGGCCAGACUAGGUUAGUCAUGUAUCUUACUUUACAGUCCUCUGUUUGAAGGGUUGCCAGUUCUCCAUUUGAAGGGCUGGUGGGUCCAAGCCCCAUUUAAAGAUGAAGAAUAGUGCAAAGGGAGAGCAGAGGCCUUUACGCUGCACAUCAACUAUUACCACAACUGGACACCAGCUGAGCAGCCACACAGCUCACCAGGUCACAGCUUCCUCCACUCUAACGGCAUGUAAUAUUACAAUACAAGGUUGCAUGUGGACAUAUAACUCAGCAUGCGCAACUGUUAUGUAACCAAUGUCCCCUUGUCUUUUUUUCAGUGAUGCAUUUCCACUUUAUUGGCAAUGUGUCAGUGGCUACCUUAGACCAUACUUGCCCAGAUUGUCUUCCCUUUGCCCAGCUCAAACUCUUACAAGAAUAGAUAUACAGAGUUGUGUGGGAUCUUGAGGUCAUAAGAGUCAUAAGGGUUGCCACCCGAAAUAUAUAUAAAAAAUAAUAAAUAAUUGUCCAGUAGCACCUUAGAGACCAACUAAGUUUGUUCCUGGUAUGAGCUUUCGUAUGCAAGCUCAUACCAGGAACAAACUUAGUUGGUCUCUAAGGUGCUACUGGACAAUUUUUUUAUAUAUUUCUACUGCGUCAGACCAACACGGCUACCUACCUGAAUCUAGGGUUACCACCUGUCCCUAGAAAAAUGGGAUCGUCCCGUUUUGGGACAAAAGUGUUCCCGGUCCCAUUUAGACUUCAAACGGGAUGCCUUUCUUCCCAUAUUCAAGCUCAGGCAGCCCAAAAUGGCUGUAAUAAUAAUAAUAAUAAUAAUAAUAAUUUAUUAUUUAUACCCCACCAAUCUGGCUGGGUUUCCCCAGUCACUCUGGGUGGCUCCCAAUAGAAUAUUGAAAACACGAUAAACACAUCAAACAUUAAAAACUUCCCUAAACUGGGCUGCCUUCCGAUGUUGUCUAAAAGUCAGGUGGUUGAUGAUUUCCUUGACAUCUGAUGGGAGAGCAUUCCACAGGGUGGGUGCCACUACCAAGAAGGCCCUCUGCCUGGUUGCGUUGCUGUUGGUGCGGCUGAUGAGGAGCUUGGACCAGCGUUGAGCGACAACACAGACCUCCUCUCCCUCUUUCCUCCCCUCUCACUGGUGUUCCUCCGCAGCUGCUACCUGCCAGGCUAGGAUGGCGCAGGCCCAGCGCCGCUUUGCCCCCUCUGCUGCCCCGAUCUGACAUCUCCUCCUCCCUCUUCUUUGUCCAUGCUCAAGUCUCUUUCACCACCAGCAUCGGCAAGAGGCUGGAGCAGCAGCUCAACUUGCCCAUGAGAACUGGCCGUCUACCCCUGGCCCCUGCCCAUCUAUGUGAGUCGAGGGGUAAAGUGGGGCUGGGGUGGUGAGAGGCUCAAUGUGGGGAACCCCCCUCCCAUGGUGUCAUGGGAGUGUGUGUGUCCUCCAGUCCUCACCCCGCCAACCUGUCUUUUAUUUUGCCUGACCAAAGGUGGCAGCCCCAGCUAGUCACAAACCCCACCCCAACCCACAACAAGAAUGUGAAAAAGAAUUGUGAUGAUUUCACAAGGUUACUUGACAUUGCAGGCCACAAUCCAGAGAAAAAUAAGCCACACUUAAGUUCCACAGGGCCAGUUGGUUGUAACCAAUUUUGGAGUGACUUUAGCACAGGCAUCUCCAAACUCGGCCCUCCAGAUGUUUUGGGACUACAAUUCCCAUUAUCCCUGACCACUGGUCCUGUUAGCUAGGGAUAAUGGGAGUUGUAGACCCAAACCAUCCGGAGGGCUGAGUUUGGGGAUGCCUGCUUUAGCAUAACUAACUUUCUUUCGACUUUGGGCCAUAAAUUUCAAGCAGCGUUGCAUCUAGACUGGGAUAUCAGAGAGGUAGGUCAUAUAUUUAGCAGGACACAAAUUAAAUCCGGGGUUGGAGACCUGUGAACUACAAUCCCCAUCGCCUCCAGCCAACAUUGCCAAUGGUCAGGGAUAGUGGGAGUUAUAACCCAAGCAUGUCUAGAUGUCUGAUGUCUUCAUAGGGCAGUCGGGUACCAUCUCAGUGACCUACCAGCACCUGGUGAAACAAAUAUAGUUUCACCUUUUUCCUAUUACCUUUUGGGAUACCAGCUAAGAAACUUACGAGCACGCCUGCCUGGAAAGUUCCAAGGCAGGGGUCAGCAAACUUUUUCAGCAGCGGGCCAGUCCACUGUCCCUCAGACUAUGUGGGGGGCCGGACUGUAUUUUUUUUGGGGGGGAAAGAACAAAUUCCUAUGCCCCACAAAUAACCCAGAGGUGCAUUUUAAAUAAAAGGACACAUUCUACUCAUGUAAAAACACACUGAUUCCCGGACCAUCUGCGGGCUGGAUUUAGAAGGCGAUUGGGCCGGAUCCAGCUCCCGGGCCUUAGCUUGCCUACCUGUGCUCAAAGGGCUUUUGCAGUGGAGGUGGAAAAUUCAGCACUUUCAGUGAUGAAACAAAAUACCGCGCCACCAGUGAUUGGAAAGGAAAUGACUCUUCCUCUUUGUUGAGUCUGCCAGUCAAGUAGAGAGGAAAUUAGGUCAGACCAAGAAGGAAAAGAGACAAGUAUUUGGAGAUCUCUUGACCUUUAAAGAAACACACCAGCGGCAUGAAAAGCUCACUCUGUUGUAGGAACAAGAGUUAGUUUAACUUCUAGCGCAGAAGGGACAUUCAGAAUUGCUGCUUGGAUUGAAGUAGCCUUCCUGGUGGCUGUUUAGAAGAUGUGUUCACUGUGUCCUUUUUAGAUUUAUUUUCUGGGUUUCAGGGUGCUGUAUGGAAGGAGCAGACGCUUGACAACCAUAUGUCAGGAGUGCUCUGAUGGUGUUUCCUGCUUGGCAGGGGGUUGGACUCGAUGGCCCUUGUGGUCUCUUCCAACUCUAUGAUUUUAUGAUUCUAUGACCCAUUUAUUGUCUGAACCAAAGUUUGGUUUCAGGAAGAUGUCCCUAUAAGAUCAAUACAAGCUUCUUAUAGGGUUCUUAUGUUCUUAUAGGGACAUCCAGGGUGCUUUCCAGACAACCUGUUUCUUGAUCCGUUUGCAGGGAGAUUAGAUGGUGUUGGCUAUUUAAUUGUAAUUUAUUCUGAUUUGCUUUUGGGGAGGUUAGAUGACACUGUGUCAAACCCCAAGUGUUAUCCCACAGUUUCCACUGCAUAUUCCUGUCACUUUCCAGGUCACAAAAUGUCUGAUAUUUUGGGGAAACAGGAGUAGUGCAAGACCACCCAACUGACUAUAAUUGCACAACCUGAAUUUUCAGGUAUGUGAGUAAAUCCCACCUGAAAAUAACUUAAUUAUUGGGCCUUUAGAGGAGCAGCUUGAUCAUCAGAUGCUAGCAAGUCAUAACACUUAUCUCUGCAGCUUGGAGAGCUCGAUGUGCUGGUUUCAGGUUGCUAUAAAAUAAAUAGGAGCGGAGCAAGUUUUACAUUUAGGUUUCAUAGCCACAGGAGUAUAACCGUUGCACUUCUCUUGCAGAGCAAAAGGCUAAGAACUGCUAUCAAAACUAUUUCCAGCAGCAUCAGUCUGCAGAUGUAGCCCAGCAUGUCUUCUGAAAUGCAUCAUGAUUCAUUCACUUUGGCACAGGUGGACAGGUGUGCCUUGGAGCAGAUGGGGUUUUAGCAAUUAAAGAGACAGGAGCCCUGUUAAAAUUAUUCACAUCAUCCUGGAGAUAUACUUAAAAGCAAACUAGUGAUUGAAACCAUGAUUCCAUUUGUCUAAAAACAUAAAAUACACACACGUGGCUAUUAAAUGUAAAUUAACUUUGUUGCAAGGCUAUGGGCAAAUAAUCAUUAAAAGUUAUAUCAGCCAAUA